rnacentral:rRNA from 1 species
UUAGGGAACUUCUCCAAUGCGCGCAAGCGUGAGAGAGUAAGCCAGAGUGAUUUUGAUAUAAUUUCAAAAUCUUUUGUUCGUUGUAAGAAGACGGACGAAUAAGGACUGGGCAAGACCGGUGCCAGCCGCCGCGGUAAUCCCGGCGGUCCGAGUCGCAGCCACAAUUAUUGGGUCUAAAACAUUCGUAGCUUGUUUGUUAAGUUCCUUGUGAAAUUCUAAAUCUUAAGUUUAGAGCGUGCAAGGAAUACUGGCAAACUUGGGACCGGAGGAAGCAAGAAGUAUGGCCGAGGUAGCGGUAAAAUGUUCUAAUCUUGGCCAGACUAACAACAGCGAAGGCAUCUUGCUAAUACGGAUCUGACAGUGAGGAAUGAAGGCUAGGGUCGCGAAAGGG